GGGAAAACCAGCCAAGUGAAAGCAAUGGAUCAUGUGAAGUGCAGCUACAGCACCCUGGGUUGGAGGCUUAAGCACGAGGGAGUUUCCAGCAAUUAAUGCAGGAGCAAUUUUUGACACAGCAAGAUUCACAGGAUAGUUGAAGGGGGGGAUUGCUAGAACCACCCCAAGUGGAAUCUGCAUGCACGAGCCAGUCAAAGUAACAAAAAUUAUGCAUAUGAAAGGUGCAUAAUGAUACAAACUAAGAGCAAGUUUUGUUGUCCCAAAGAGGGGAAACUUGGCGUAUUAAUAGCUCUAGUUAAAGUUACCCAAGAAGGGAGAACUCCAAUGCAACAUGGGCAUUGCUUUCUCAAUAUGCUAGCGGUAACAGAAAUUACUGAAAAGAUGACACUUGAAUGUAACAUAUAUAUGCAAGCCACUGUUUUCUCCCCUUUUAGCCCCAUACUGUGAUAUGAUAUGGGACAAUCACAGCAAGACACAGAAAAUAGAAUAACUACACAAUUUGAACUUGCAACCCCAAGAAAAGAGGUGAAGGCCAACUAAACUUCCAUAGGACCCAUUAGGUGUUAAUAUAAUUAAAAUGGAGAUGCACAAACGUGAGGAAGCAUUCCAUAAAUCUAAAACAUGAGCAUCCUUGGAUUUUACAACCAAGAAAAAGGAGCCACAAUUUCCUGCUUAGCUAAAGAGUUUUACUCCUGAAACUUGCUUGCUUUAAAGUUUUUAUUCUAUUUGUCAUUCAUAAUUCUCAUGAGUUCAUUUGGAAUAAAUUAUUUGCAAGUCAAGAAUUCUCACACAAUCAUGCAUGAGUUCUAUUUUUAAAAUGAAAAAUUUUUAAGUUAAAAAGAAUUGAAUCCUUUCAUUCCAAACAUGAGAAUUAAUAAAAAAGAAAUUAAUUGAAUUGAA
rnacentral:misc_RNA from 1 species